AUCUUGACCGUCAAAUUCCUCGAGCAUCUCAGUGCUGGGAUUUCGGUAGAUAAAGUUGACCCUUUGAAGAUCAAAUAUUACCGACUGAAGCUUGCAAUUGAGGGUUUAAGGGGGGAGGCAUAUUUAUGAGGAACUCCUUUAUAUGAAGAUGCAGACGUAGAUGCUUUGCUGGGGGUACUUUAGAUGGUCAUCCUGCCUUUUUGCUACAGCUAGUUGGUUUAGUUAUUAUUGUCAAGUGUAAUAUUGUACAGUGUAGAAGCAGUGGCUAAUUGCCUUACAUGGCACACACACUGUUUCGAUUUUGAAGGUUAACUCUUUUGUACACCUCCAUAUAUAAACAUAGUUGCUCUUUGUGGAUGCUUUAGUAGCCAUUGUUCACAUUUUGUCUCUGUGGUUUUGGGAAUCUGUUACUGGACUUACUGAAGCAUACAACUUUGUUAACAUUUCUCCAUUUAGUUUUGACUU